AGGUCACUUGCGACGUCACGUCGGUUUACACAAUCGCUGCGUUACGUCACAAUGCGUCUGUAUGACAUCGCGUCAUAACCGCUUCGCCAUCGCCCGUGAUUAUUACGUCAUAGUUCACGCCCGAGAUCACACGUUAGCGGAGAUUAGCGACGUAACAAUGCGGUUUCUUAUAUACUCUUGCUAUUUGCGACAUUUUUUCAUGGGGCCCCAUGCGCGCUUUGCGUCGUCGCAAGGCACAUUACUUAAUAAUAUUAUUUUUUUCCUAAAUUAUAUUCGUGCCGUUAGCACAAAAUAAAGCAUGAAGAUCAAAGAAUUGGUAAAGUAUAAAUCACAAUAUACAUUGUUACGUACACCAGCUCUUUUCUAGAUGACAUCAGAGAUGUGACGUCACGAAGUGGUGAUGACGCAAAAGAAGAACCCACUUCAACAUGGUAUGUGACGUCACAGAGGAUCUGAACAAAGUGUGAAUUGGGAAUAAAGAAAAGCCAGCGUAUAUGCUGCCGGAAAAAGAGCAAUAAGACGAAGAGCAAAGACAAAGACGACGAAUAAGAAAGCCGGUUUGAGGUUUUGCUUAGACUUAAGAGUUGUGUGUUGUUGGGGUGUGGUUGCUGGAGCACUCUUACAGUGUUGCCGGAUUUGUGUUUGUGCCUCAUUUUCGCUGGACCUAAUGUGGCCAGCCUUUUUGUCAGUCACUACUUUAGUGCAUUUUGCAUUUCAGUGAAAUAUAUGUAAUGAAACUAUGGCAAACAUCUUGAUGGAUCGGAUUUUGUUGUUGUACACGUCAUUAUGUG